UAUGUGAUCGUCUCUCGCAUAUCAAUAAGCGGAGGAAAAGAAACUAACAAGGAUUCCCCUAGUAACGGCGAGUGAAGCGGGAAGAGCUCAAAUUUGAAAUCUUAAAGGGUUUCCCUUUACGAAUUGUAGUUUAAAGAAGUGUUUUCUGUUGAGGUUUUGGUAAAAGUUCUUUGGAAUAGGACAUCAUAGAGGGUGAGAAUCCCGUAUUUGACCUUUACUUUCAACUUUGUGAUACACUUUCAAAGAGUCGGAUUGUUUGGGAAUGCAGUCCAAAAUGGGUGGUAAAUUUCAUCUAAAGCUAAAUAUUGGCGAGAGACCGAUAGCGAACAAGUACCGUGAGGGAAAGAUGAAAAGAACUUUGAAAAGAGAGUUAAACAGUACGUGAAAUUGUCAAAAGGGAAGCGUUUGACACCAGUGUUGUUUUUCUGAAAAUCAAUUAAAGAACUGUUUAUGCUAAGCUGUUUAGACUUUAUCAGCUAUCUGUUUAGUUUUGAGCUUUUCUUUAAUGCACUUUUCAGUUAACAAGUCAACAUCAAUUUCCUUUUGCUGUAAAGAAGCUUGAGGAAGGUGGCUUGAGAUUCGUCUUAAGUGUUUAUAGCCUCUUGCCUAUGCAGUCGGAGAGAUUGAGGUCUGCAGCGUAGAUCCUUCGGGGCUAAAUGCAUUUGUGCUAAGUUAUAGCAUUUUAUAGACAACUUGUUGACUAUGAUUUGUCUUGUAGCUUACUCGCUUAUGUUAUUUUACCUACGCUUAGGAUGUUGACGAGACUGUCGAUCUC
rnacentral:rRNA from 1 species